rnacentral:rRNA from 1 species
ACGAACGCUGGCGGCGUGCUUAACACAUGCAAGUCGAACGGAAAGGCCCUGCUUUUGUGGGGUGCUCGAGUGGCGAACGGGGGAGUAACACGUGAGUAACCUGCCCUUGACUUUGGGAUAACUUCAGGAAACUGGGGCUAAUACCGGAUAGGAGCUCCUGCUGCAUGGUGGGGGGUGGAAAGUUUCGGCGGUUGGGGAUGGACUCGCGGCUUAUCAGCUUGUUGGUGGGGUAGUGGCUUACCAAGGCUUUGACGGGUAGCCGGCCUGAGAGGGUGACCGGCCACAUUGGGACUGAGAUACGGCCCAGACUCCUACGGGAGGCAGCAGUGGGGAAUAUUGCACAAUGGGCGGAAGCCUGAUGCAGCAACGCCGCGUGCGGGAUGACGGCCUUCGGGUUGUAAACCGCUUUCGCCUGUGACGAAGCGUGAGUGACGGUAAUGGGUAAAGAAGCACCGGCUAACUACGUG